UGGGGAAUAUUGCGCAAUGGGGGAAACCCUGACGCAGCAACGCCGCGUGAAGGACGAAUGCCUUCGGGUUGUAAACUUCAACAAGCAGGGAAGAAUAAUGACGGUACCUGACUGGAAGCCACGGCUAACUACGUGCCAGCAGCCGCGGUAAUACGUAGGUGGCAAGCGUUGUCCGGAUUUACUGGGUGUAAAGGGCGUGUAGGCGGGUGCAUAAGUCAGUGGUGAAAUACCGAAGCUCAACUUCGGGGCUGCCAUUGAAACUGUGCAUCUUGAGUGCAGGAGAGGAAAGCGGAAUUCCUAGUGUAGCGGUGAAAUGCGUAGAUAUUAGGAGGAACACCAGUGGCGAAGGCGGCUUUCUGGACUGUAACUGACGCUGAGGCGCGAAAGCGUGGGUAGCAAACA
rnacentral:rRNA from 1 species